UACGUAGGGUGAGAGCGUUGUCCGGAAUUAUUGGGCGUAAAGAGCUCGUAGGCGGUGUGUCACGUCGGCCGUGAAAACCUACAGCUUAACUGUGGGCGUGCGGUCGAUACGGGCAUCACUGGAGUUCGGCAGGGGAGACUGGAAUUCCUGGUGUAGCGGUGAAAUGCGCAGAUAUCAGGAGGAACACCGGUGGCGAAGGCGGGUCUCUGGGCCGAUACUGACGCUGAGGAGCGAAAGCGUGGGGAGCGAACAGG
rnacentral:rRNA from 1 species